GCCAAUACAUGCAAGUCGAACGAACUCUGGUAUUGAUUGGUGCUUGCAUCAUGAUUUACAUUUGAGUGAGUGGCGAACUGGUGAGUAACACGUGGGAAACCUGCCCAGAAGCGGGGGAUAACACCUGGAAACAGAUGCUAAUACCGCAUAACAACUUGGACCGCAUGGUCCGAGUUUGAAAGAUGGCUUCGGCUAUCACUUUUGGAUGGUCCCGCGGCGUAUUAGCUAGAUGGUGGGGUAACGGCUCACCAUGGCAAUGAUACGUAGCCGACCUGAGAGGGUAAUCGGCCACAUUGGGACUGAGACACGGCCCAAACUCCUACGGGAGGCAGCAGUAGGGAAUCUUCCACAAUGGACGAAAGUCUGAUGGAGCAACGCCGCGUGAGUGAAGAAGGGUUUCGGCUCGUAAAACUCUGUUGUUAAAGAAGAACAUAUCUGAGAGUAACUGUUCAGGUAUUGACGGUAUUUAACCAGAAAGCCACGGCUAACUACGUGCCAGCAGCCGCGGUAAUACGUAGGUGGCAAGCGUUGUCCGGAUUUAUUGGGCGUAAAGCGAGCGCAGGCGGUUUUUUAAGUCUGAUGUGAAAGCCUUCGGCUCAACCGAAGAAGUGCAUCGGAAACUGGGAAACUUGAGUGCAGAAGAGGACAGUGGAACUCCAUGUGUAGCGGUGAAAUGCGUAGAUAUAUGGAAGAACACCAGUGGCGAAGGCGGCUGUCUGGUCUGUAACUGACGCUGAGGCUCGAAAGUAUGGGUAGCAAACAGGAUUAGAUACCCUGGUAGUCCAUACCGUAAACGAUGAAUGCUAAGUGUUGGAGGGUUUCCGCCCUUCAGUGCUGCAGCUAACGCAUUAAGCAUUCCGCCUGGGGAGUACGGCCGCAAGGCUGAAACUCAAAGGAAUUGACGGGGGCCCGCACAAGCGGUGGAGCAUGUGGUUUAAUUCGAAGCUACGCGAAGAACCUUACCAGGUCUUGACAUACUAUGCAAAUCUAAGAGAU
rnacentral:rRNA from 1 species